rnacentral:misc_RNA from 1 species
GGAUGACUUCAAUGGUAUCUGCCUAUCGAAUGUUUUGCUUAAUGUAACUUCAAAACAUCCAUGGAAUUGUUCGGAUAUACAUGGGCACUCAAAUAUGGUAUCCCCAGAAAUAUGCAAACCCCUCAAGGAAAUUCCACAGAGCUCUUCUGAUUGUUAUCAACUCGGUCCAUUAGGCACUCAGACAUCAAGUGCAAAGCGUUUGGUUAG